rnacentral:misc_RNA from 1 species
CUGGAGUGGCUUCGGCAUAAACUCCCUAACCAUUGUGAACGAUACCUAUCGUUGCUUAGCUCGGUGGAGGCCUAGCGGCCUCGCGCCCAACCCCUCUGCAGGCUACCGCGGAGGCCCAAACUCUAUCAUACAUUGUCCUCUCUGAGUAGCUUAUAAAAUAAGUCA